CAGGUCACGAAUAAGGAUCUUUCUAUGAUAACACAUUGAGUCAAGACAAGGCAGUUGAGACACAAUGGAGUCAGGAAUAUGUAAGAUUUCAAGAAAAACUGCUUCAACCGAGGAUCAGAGGAGUCUAAAGUUGCUGCUUUAUCAGUGUACUUUCAGUGCUGAUAGACAUAGUGUCUUCAGUCACAGUAGAGGGUUUUAUUGGUGAUUCAGUUGUCCUGCCGUGUUAUUCAACUAAACAUUAUAUUAAACCUCAAGACGUUGAAGUGUUUUGGAGACACAAUGACAGCAUGAUUGUGUUUGAUAUAAUCAAGGGUAAAAAUUCAGACACACGUGAUCCACGGUACAAGAACAGAGUUGAACGUUUAACAAAUCUGAGCCCAAACUACUCUCUCAAACUCUCCGAUCUCAAUCAUGCUGAUGCGGGGAAGUACAUCUGCUACAUCACACCUUCAGAUGAAUGGAGGACUGUAGAGCUGAUCAUCAAUGAAACAGGAAACAAAUCCAGCGAUCAAGAAAACCAGGGAGAAGUUCCAGUAUCAGACAGUGUGAAGAAAUCAGGGACAAUGCUGUGGGUUUACAUUGUAGUACCUUGCAUUGUAGUAUUAGCUAUAGUAUAGUUUAAUAUUAUUUUGUUCGAGAAAAAGAACUCAAGCUGUCUCUUUCUCUUCUGUUUUAAAUAAAGAACAAACAAAGCACCAUGAAUGAAAGUUAGGACUAAAGGCUUACCUUUGGCUGAAUUAUUAAACUUUUCAUUGGUUCUCUUUGGUGCAAUUGUGUGCUGUAUUUCGUCACAUGAAUUAUAAUACCACAGUAUGAAGCGAUUGACGAGUUUGACGAAUUUAACGGUAAAAGUGUAAAAAUGCCACAGUAAAAAGCUGUUAAACGGUUAAUGGCAAGUCCCCCUAGUGAAAAACUGUAAUAGAUAUUUCAGACAAUUUUAUUGACAAUUUUAAAACCCAGUUUUUGGAAGUGAAAAACUAUGUAAUGUUUGUAUGUAAUUAAAAAUAAAACGUAAAUUGACA